GAGUGAUGCAUGGAUAGAUAGACUGAAUUUUGUCUGAAGGAGAUUUGGGAGAACGGGCUCGUUUCCACUUGACUUGGAAGAUGCAGCAUGAUCUGUGCGUUUUCAGCAUAUUUUUUAUUUUACUUUGAUUGUACCAGCAAGAUUAAAGUCAGAAAUUACACUCCAGAGAACUGAUGUGUCAGCUGGGUUCGGAGACAGCACGUGUAUUCGAGUUAGAAGGCUGUGGGUUCAAGACUCCAACCAAUGGAGAAGAUCCCCCAAAUCCCAGACUUCAGUUUGGCCUGGACUAUUUGAUACCACAUUCGGUCAAGCGCUA